rnacentral:rRNA from 1 species
UACGAAGGGGGCUAGCGUUGUUCGGAAUUACUGGGCGUAAAGCGAGCGUAGGUCGCUCGACAAGUCAGUGGUGAAGGCCCAGAGCUUAACUCUGGAACUGCCAUUGAAACUGUCGAGCUGGAAUCUCAGAGGGGAUAGCGGAAUUCCAAAUGUAGGGGUGAAAUCCGUAGAUAUUUGGAGGAACACCGGUGGCGAAAGCGCCUUGCUGGGUCUGCACUGACACUGAGGGACGAAAGCUAGGGGAGCGAAAGGG